AAAUACGUGCCCGUACCGAAAACCGACACAGGUAGAUGAGGAGAGAAUCCUAAGGCCGGCGGGAGAAGCAUUGUUAAGGAACUCGGCAAAAUGACCCUGUAACUUCGGGAGAAAGGGUGCCAGCGAGAGCUGGCCGCAGAGAAUAGGCUCAAGCAACUGUUUAGCAAAAACACAGGUCUAUGCAAAACCGAAAGGUGAGGUAUAUGGGCUGACGCCUGCCCGGUGCUGGAAGGUUAAGAGGAGAGGUUAGAGAAAUCGAAGCUUUGAAUUUAAGCCCCAGUAAACGGCGGCCGUAACGAUAACGGUCCUAAGGUAGCGAAAUUCCUUGUCGGGUAAGUUCCGACCCGCACGAAAGGCGUAAUGAUUUGAGCGCUGUCUCGACAAUGCACCCGGUGAAAUUGAAAUACCAGUGAAGAUGCUGGUUACCUGCGCCAGGACGGAAAGACCCCAUGGAGCUUUACUCCAGCUUGAUACUGGGAUUCGGUACUGCAUGUACAGGAUAGGUGGGAGGCUAUGAAUCAUGGACGCCAGUCUGUGAGGAGCCGCUGUUGGGAUACCACCCUUGCGGUAUUGGAUUUCUAACCUGCAGCCGUCAGCCGGCUGGGGGACAAUGUCAGGCGGGGAGUUUGACUGGGGCGGUCGCCUCCGAAAGGGUAUCGGAGGCGCUCAAAGGUUCCCUCAUAAUGGUUGGAAACCAUUAGAAGAGUGCAAAGGCAUAAGGGAGCUUGACUGCGACACCGACGGGUGGAGCAGGUAGGAAACUAGGACUUAGUGAUCCGGUGGUAAGAAAGUGGGAUUGCCAUCGCUCAACGGAUAAAAGCUACCCUGGGAUAACAGGCUUAUCACUCCCAAGAGUUCACAUCGACGGAGUGGUUUGGCACCUCGAUGUCGGCUCAUCGCAUCCUGGGGCUGUAGCAGGUCCCAAGGGUUGGGCUGUUCGCCCAUUAAAGCGGUACGCGAGCUGGGUUCAGAACGUCGUGAGACAGUUCGGUCCCUAUCCGGCGCGGGCGGAGGAUAUUUGAGAGGAGCUGUCCUUAGUACGAGAGGACCGGGAUGGACGGGCCGCUGGUGUAUCUGUUGGCUGCCAAAGCCAUGGCAGAGUAGCCAAGCCCGGACGGGAUAAACGCUGAAGGCAUCUAAGCGUGAAGCCCCCCUCAAGAAGAGAUAUCCCAUUCCGCAAGGAAGUAAGACCCCUUGAAGACGACGAGGUAGAUAGGUCAGAGGUGGAAGUACAGUAAUGUAUGGAGCUGACUGAUACUAAUCGGUCGAGGGCUUGACCU
rnacentral:rRNA from 1 species